GUCACAGUCGCCUAAGGGACGGGCAAUAGCCUUCUAAGCUAUCAUUUGUA
rnacentral:tRNA from 1 species